UAAGCAUAUCAAUAAGCGGAGGAAAAGAAACCAACAGGGAUUACCUCAGUAACGGCGAGUGAAGCGGUAACAGCUCAAAUUUGAAAUCUGGCUCUUUCAGGGUCCGAGUUGUAAUUUGUAGAAGAUGCUUCGGGUGUAGCUCCGGUCUAAGUUCCUUGGAACAGGACGUCAUAGAGGGUGAGAAUCCCGUAUGUGACUGGUUGCUUUCGCCCAUGUGAAGCUCUUUCGACGAGUCGAGUUGUUUGGGAAUGCAGCUCUAAAUGGGUGGUAAAUUUCAUCUAAAGCUAAAUAUUGGCCAGAGACCGAUAGCGCACAAGUAGAGUGAUCGAAAGAUGAAAAGCACUUUGGAAAGAGAGUUAAACAGUACGUGAAAUUGUUGAAAGGGAAGCGCUUGCAACCAGACUUGCACCCCGUCGAUCAUCCCCCGUUCUCGGAGGUGCACUCGGCGGGGUUCAGGCCAGCAUCGGUUUCGGUGGUGGGAUAAAGGCCUUGGGAACGUAGCUCCUCUCGGGGAGUGUUAUAGCCCUCGGUGCAAUGCCGCCUACCGGGACCGAGGACCGCGCUUCGGCUAGGAUGCUGGCGUAAUGGUUGUAAGCGACCCGUCUUGAAACACGGACCAAGGAGUCUAACAUCUAUGCGAGUGUUUGGGUGUUAAACCCAUACGCGUAAUGAAAGUGAACGGAGGUGAGAACCCUUUAGGGUGCAUCAUCGACCGAUCCUGAUGUCUUCGGAUGGAUUUGAGUAAGAGCAUAGCUGUUGGGACCCGAAAGAUGGUGAACUAUGCCUAAAUAGGGUGAAGCCAGAGGAAACUCUGGUGGAGGCUCGCAGCGGUUCUGACGUGCAAAUCGAUCGUCAAAUUUGGGUAUAGGGGCGAAAGACUAAUCGA
rnacentral:rRNA from 1 species